CGCGGCCUAUCAGCUUGUUGGUGAGGUAAUGGCUCACCAAGGCGACGACGGGUAGCCGGCCUGAGAGGGCGACCGGCCACACUGGGACUGAGACACGGCCCAGACUCCUACGGGAGGCAGCAGUGGGGAAUAUUGCACAAUGGGCGAAAGCCUGAUGCAGCGACGCCGCGUGAGGGAUGACGGCCUUCGGGUUGUAAACCUCUUUCAGCAGGGAAGAAGCGAAAGUGACGGUACCUGCAGAAGAAGCGCCGGCUAACUACGUGCCAGCAGCCGCGGUAAUACGUAGGGCGCAAGCGUUGUCCGGAAUUAUUGGGCGUAAAGAGCUCGUAGGCGGCUUGUCACGUCGGGUGUGAAAGCCCGGGGCUUAACCCCGGGUCUGCAUUCGAUACGGGCUAGCUAGAGUGUGGUAGGGGAGAUCGGAAUUCCUGGUGUAGCGGUGAAAUGCGCAGAUAUCAGGAGGAACACCGGUGGCGAAGGCGGAUCUCUGGGCCAUUACUGACGCUGAGGAGCGAAAGCGUGGGGAGCGAACAGGAUUAGAUACCCUGGUAGUCCACGCCGUAAACGGUGGGAGCUAGGUGUUGGCGACAUUCCACGUCGUCGGUGCCGCAGCUAACGCAUUAAGUUCCCCGCCUGGGAGUACG
rnacentral:rRNA from 1 species